ensembl:lncRNA
AUGAAUAUGAUAUGCAGACAUAGUAAAACAAAUAUGAGAGAAAUUAAUUCAAUUAAAUUUGGUAACGCUUUACAAAAGGCCUUUAUGAAUAAUGCAUCAUAAAAGUAUCUUUAAUGCAUUAAUUAUGCCUUGUAAUACACCUUAUAAUGCAUUGUGCAAUCAAAUGAAUAAUUGUAAGCACAGUUAAUACAUUAUAACACUUAUCAAUUAAUUGUUACGCUAUGCAUUUUAAAUUUGGUUGUAAUUAUUUACAACAAGAUGUAAUGUAUUACAAUGCACAUUAUGAAUAAUUACAAUGCAUUAUACCCUUCAAUAACCCUUUAUAAUGCAUUAUACAUAAAGGCUUUAAGUAAAGUGUUAGCUUAAAUUCUACUAAAUUAAAAAGCGAUUAAAUUUAUAAUGAAUAAAUAAAAUAUUAUUGAAAAAAGCAAUAAAAUGACAUUGCAUUAUUAUUAUUCAACACAUUAAUUAGUUUUGCUUUUAAUUAAAGUUUAAUGAUGCUUUGUUUAAUUACACCUGUGCUGGCAACCACGGUGCUAGUGCACUUCUAAAAGCUAACAAAAUGAAUAUUUGUCGCACAUACUUUAAAAUUAUAAUAUAUUUAAUGUUUUAAUAUUUGUUCAAUCAAAUUCUAAAAAAAUGAAAAUGUCAUUUUCUCUGCAGUCAUGGUUGUAAAUCAUGGUUAGCCUGUUAAAAAAAAAAAAAUCCAACCAAAACUUCUUGUUUGAACAGGAAAUAUGUACAUAAAGUUAAGAAAACUGUGCUCAUGAGCCGUUUCAUGGGGUCUUUAUGCCUUGUCCUCACUGACCACUUUCAGUGUUCAUGUUAUUCAUGUGCCUUUCUUUGUUUGAUUAGUGGCAAUACUGUGUUUCUGUCUCUGAUCUCUGUUUAUUGCCUUAUUGUGGAGACCACUUUAAAAACAUAUAUUUUUGUCAAUUUAGCUGUAAGCAUACAUAUUUAAAGGAAGAUCCUCUAAGAUUUCUACUAUAGAUUUCUACUUUGAUGAUAAAGUUAAGCAUUUAUUUGUCCUGGUACUUUGUCUUGUCUACUCAGUAGAUGUGAAUCAGAGUCCUUAUCGAGUCUGCAGUGCUGGUGUCCUGUGCUCUUUCUUGGUGGCAUUUUUUUCUGGAAAUAUGCAAAAAUGCAUAUUACAAUUAUUGGCAGGCCAGUAGAGUUGGUUUAAAAAUUGGAGAAAAGAGUUGUUGGUUUUUUUUUUUUUUUUUAAAUGCAACAAAAUUGUUUUAGACAUGUUAUGUAGCAUAUUGGAUCUUUAAAAAGAGUUUAAUCUUAGUGAUUUCUUGCAUUGUUUAAAGAUGGUGCUUCAUGCAGCCUGACCCAUAUGAAUACUUAGGUAAUAACAUUAACUCUCUUUUAAUUUGAAUUGCCUUGAGGUUGUCUUUAAAGUUGAAUCCUAAAGGAUCUAAAUUAUUUCUUAAGGCUAUUAGUUACGACUGUGGCAAUAUGUAGUAAUGUAGCGAGAACUGUGGAUGAUGAUGAUGAUGAUUCUUCUGCUUCAACACAUAUUCGCACUUUAGAUCUGUUUAAUUUUAAUGUAAAUCUAAACCCCUGGUGAAAAAAAAGAUUGACACAUUGCUAAGAUUUAAAGGUACAAAGAUGAGGUUUGGCACACAAUCCAGUUUUUGAAGCGAUAGUGUGUUUUGUGAGCAGACUGGAGAUGUGUUGCUUAAUGCUGGAGCCGCUGUGUGAGAUGCUAUCGGAGAGAGUGGCUGUGUACAACUAAGCAAAGCUAAUUCAGCAUACGAGUAAAUGCCACAAAAAUUGUCCUGGUCAUAUUUCACUCCAGAGGAAAAUAAAUCAAAUUAUAUCAUGGGAUGAUAAGACAAUUAUGCAUAUUUUCAGAACCAUUAACAUUAUCUUGCAUUAUUUUUGUUACAGUUACCCCCAAAACUCUCCCAGUUAUCAUUGCGUUGAAAAAGACAAAAACUACUUAAACAUGAUGGUUUUAUACAUAUUUUUUAGUUUUUAUUUAAUAUUUUAUUAUAUUGUUCUAUGAAUUUAAAUAAAUACUGUAAAAAAAAAAGAAAAAUUGUAUGAUAACAAUGAGAGUAAAUAAAAAGUUAAUUAAAAAAAUUAAGAAAAUUAUUUAUUUUUAUUGGUCAUAUUUUAUAUAUAUAUAAUUUUUUUUUGGGGGGGGGGGGGUAAAAUCUGACUAAUAAAACAAACAUAUACACACAUAUAAUAUGUAAUAAAGGUAAAAAAGUUUAUUUUUAUUUGUCACAUUUUACCCCCAAAAUAAAAUAUAUUUAGAAUUUUUAUAUGUAAUUCUAUAUAAAAUUAUAUCAAAUGUGGCCAAUAAACACACACACACACACACACACACACACACACACACACACACACACACACACACACACACACACACAUAAUAUAAUUACUUUUUUUUUCUUUUUUAGGUGAUAUUCCCUUAAAUAUUACCUACAGCAAAUUUUAGUGCACCUGUCAUAACAUGUCUGAGGCUUAUAUUAAACUAUAUUGUUGUUGGGUGAAAUUCUGCAUAUUUUCCCCAAAUAAACCAGAUACAUCUAGAAUCAAUGUGCACAUGCUUUCUAUAGCUUUUGGUUUUAGUAAAUGGCAAUAAUCCCAUAUUUAAACUUUAACAGGUGCCUUAACACCAGCAAAUCUAGGUCACUGCACAUUGAAUCAUGUAGCAUUCAACACUAAACUAUAAAGCAAUGCAGUUCUCCACUUAUUACUUGAAUGUUCUGAUGUUAAUGCCAAAGGAGGAAAUGAUGAACCCAUAUCAUUCUCAAAGCAGUGCAGCCAUAUGAAGAUGUUACCGUGAGAGUUGUGCAUCUGAAUGUGCAGAAAGCGCUGGUUCAUGUUUGUAUUGUUCAUGUCUAAUAUCUACUGCUAUGAAGGUCAUUCACCAGACUGAGCCCCCCGAACCCACUGAAUUUCAGAUAGCAUUGCCCUUGUGUGCGCCAUUGGUUUUGUGGUUUUCUUCAACUUUAAAGACAACAUUAGAUAAAUGCAUAAAAUAGGCAGAUUUUUUUAUUAUAAAAUGAAAAAAUAAACCAAGUACGUACUUAUUUUAAUAUGUUAAAUGUAUAUUGACAUUAUUAUGAUACUGUUAUUAUGAUUAUUGUUGACAUUACUGUAUGGGAAAUUUUACCCAAUAAGUUGUAUCUCUGCACUGAUAUCAUAUUAAAGCUUAUCAAUCUUCUGCUGAUUGUUUCUUUGU